rnacentral:misc_RNA from 1 species
GAUGAAGAACGUAGCUAAAUGCGAUAAGUAAUGUGAAUUGCAGAAUUCAGUGAAUCAUCGAAUCUUUGAACGCACAUUGCGCCCCUUGGCAUUCCUUGGGGCAUGCCUGUUCGAGCGUCACUGCAAACCCACUCAUAAAUAUUAUGGUAUUGAUGGAAGUGAACGGAACCAAUCUAUGUGUUCAGGUCAUCCCAUCGAAAUGUAUAAGCAGGACAAUCAACCUGUGCAAUGGACUUAGUAACUGUCUUGAAGACAUAAACCAGUUUGUUGCUUGGUUUUGACUUAGCUUCCAUGGACCUCCAUCCAAGAUAAUAAACUCUGGGUUGACCUCGGAUCAGGUAGGGAUACCCGCUGAACUUAAGCAUAUCAAUAAGCGGAGGA